AGUGAACGCUGGCGGUAGGCCUAACACAUGCAAGUCGAACGGCAGCACAGUAAGAGCUUGCUCUUACGGGUGGCGAGUGGCGGACGGGUGAGGAAUACAUCGGAAUCUACUUUUUCGUGGGGGAUAACGUAGGGAAACUUACGCUAAUACCGCAUACGACCUACGGGUGAAAGCAGGGGAUCUUCGGACCUUGCGCGAUUGAAUGAGCCGAUGUCGGAUUAGCUAGUUGGCGGGGUAAAGGCCCACCAAGGCGACGAUCCGUGGCUGGUCUGAGAGGAUGAUCAGCCACACUGGAACUGAGACACGGUCCAGACUCCUACGGGAGGCAGCAGUGGGGAAUAUUGGACAAUGGGCGCAAGCCUGAUCCAGCCAUACCGCGUGGGUGAAGAAGGCCUUCGGGUUGUAAAGCCCUUUUGUUGGGAAAGAAAAGCAGCGGGUUAAUACCCCGCUGUUCUGACGGUACCCAAAGAAUAAGCACCGGCUAACUUCGUG
rnacentral:rRNA from 1 species